CAGACGGCUCAGUAACACGUAGCCAACCUACCCUAUGGACGGGGAUAACCUCGGGAAACUGAGGAUAAACCCCGAUAGAUCAUUAUACCUGGAACGGUUUAUGGUCCAAAUGAUUCGUCGCCGUAGGAUGGGACUGCGGCCUAUCAGCUUGUUGGUGAGGUAAUGGCCCACCAAGGCUAUUACAGGUACGGGCUCUGAGAGGAGAAGCCCGGAGAUGGGUACUGAGACACGGACCCAGGCCCUAUGGGGCGCAGCAGGCGAGAAAACUUUGCAAUGUGCGCAAGCACGACAAGGUUAAUCCGAGUGUUUCCUGCUAAAGGAAUCUUUUGCUAGUCCUAAAAACACUAGCGAAUAAGGGGUGGGCAAGUUCUGGUGUCAGCCGCCGCGGUAAAACCAGCACCUCAAGUGGUCAGGAGGAUUAUUGGGCCUAAAGCAUCCGUAGCCUGCUCUGUAAGUUUCCGGUUAAAUCCAUUAGCUUAACUGAUGGGCCGCCGGAAAAACUGCAAAGCUAGGGAGUGGGAGAGGUAGACGGUACUCGGUAGGAAGGGGUAAAAUCCUUUGAUCUAUUGAUGACCACCUGUGGCGAAGGCGGUCUACCAGAACACGUUCGACGGUGAGGGAUGAAAGCUGGGGGAGCAAACCGGAUUAGAUACCCGGGUAGUCCCAGCUGUAAACGAUGCAGACUCGGUGAUGCCCUGGCUUGUGGCCAGUGCAGUGCCGCAGGGAAGCCGUUAAGUUUGCCGCCUGGGAAGUACGUACGCAAGUAUGAAACUUAAAGGAAUUGGCGGGGGAGCACCGCAAGGGGUGAAGCCUGCGGUUCAAUUGGAGUCAACGCCAGAAAUCUUACCCGAGGAGACAGCAGAAUGAAGGUCAAGCUGGAGACUUUACCAGACAAGCUGAGAAGUGGUGCAUGGCCGUCGCCAGCUCGUGCCGUGAGAUGUCCUGUUAAGUCAGGUAACGAGCGAGAUCCCUGCCUCUAGUUGCCACCAUUACUCUCAGGAGUAGUGGGGCGAAUUAGCGGGACCGCCACAGUUAAUGUGGAGGAAGGAAGGGGCCACGGCAGGUCAGUAUGCCCUGAAACCUUGGGGCCACACGCGGGCUGCAAUGAUAGUGACAGUGAGUUCCUAACCGAGAGGUGGAGGCAAUC
rnacentral:rRNA from 1 species